rnacentral:RNase_MRP_RNA from 13 species
UGAGUCUUCCAUGCUUGUCUCUCGGGGCCACAAAACGAGUUCCUGGUAACUCCACUGGUAUUGCCCUGGGCGAAAGUCCCCGGGCCUAGGAUAGAAAGUAUCAAGGUGUAAAACGUGCAUCCCUCAGGUUGAUGAGUUCUUGCAUUCGCCUAUAUUCUGCGGAAUUUCGCCUGGCGUAUGGAUGAAGAGGAUCUAUCCGAAUCCUUUGCGUCAGGUUGUCUGCGGAAAUCUGCCAGAGUAUCUUAGAUAUGGACGAGUUGGUAGGACUCGCCGGGCGGAGUUCACGCUCUCUCGGCUGAGAAACCGCCUACACAGAAUGGGGCUUACAUUGGGAAACUC